rnacentral:SRP_RNA from 1 species
AAUUCGGUCUUGCGCAAUGAGCGGUUGUGAACCCCGUCAGGUCCGGAAGGAAGCAGCGGUAAGCGACUUACCUUAUGUGCCGCGAGGGUGCCGAGUUUCU